AGAGUUUGAUCCUGGCUCAGGACGAACGCUGGCGGCGUGCCUAACACAUGCAAGUCGAGCGGAGACAGUGAGUAGCUUGCUAUGAGCUGUUUUAGCGGCGGACGGGUGAGUAACGCGUGAGCAACCUUUCCCAGACAGGGGAAUAACACACCGAAAGGUGUACUAAUACCGCAUAAGACCACGGUUUCACAUGGAACUGAGGUAAAAGAUUUAUCGGUUUGGGGUGGGCUCGCGUCCGAUUAGGUAGUUGGUGAGGUAACGGCCCACCAAGCCGACGAUCGGUAGCCGACCUGAGAGGGUGAUCGGCCACAUUGGGACUGAGACACGGCCCAAACUCCUACGGGAGGCAGCAGUGGGGAAUAUUGCACAAUGGGGGAAACCCUGAUGCAGCAACGCCGCGUGAGUGAAGAAGUAUUUCGGUAUGUAAAGCUCUAUCAGCAGGAAAGAAAAUGACGGUACCUGACUAAGAAGCCCCGGCUAACUACGUGCCAGCAGCCGCGGUAAUACGUAGGGGGCAAGCGUUGUCCGGAAUAAUUGGGCGUAAAGGGCGCGUAGGCGGCUCGGUAAGUCUGGAGUGAAAGUCCUGCUUUUAAGGUGGGAAUUGCUUUGGAUACUGUCGGGCUUGAGUGCAGGAGAGGUUAGUGGAAUUCCCAGUGUAGCGGUGAAAUGCGUAGAGAUUGGGAGGAACACCAGUGGCGAAGGCGACUAACUGGACUGUAACUGACGCUGAGGCGCGAAAGUGUGGGGAGCAAACAGGAUUAGAUACCCUGGUAGUCCACACU
rnacentral:rRNA from 1 species